rnacentral:rRNA from 1 species
GAUGAACGCUGGCGGCGUGCCUAAUACAUGCAAGUCGAGCGAACAGACGAGGAGCUUGCUCCUCUGACGUUAGCGGCGGACGGGUGAGUAACACGUGGAUAACCUACCUAUAAGACUGGGAUAACUUCGGGAAACCGGAGCUAAUACCGGAUAAUAUAUUGAACCGCAUGGUUCAAUAGUGAAAGACGGUUUUGCUGUCACUUAUAGAUGGAUCCGCGCCGCAUUAGCUAGUUGGUAAGGUAACGGCUUACCAAGGCAACGAUGCGUAGCCGACCUGAGAGGGUGAUCGGCCACACUGGAACUGAGACACGGUCCAGACUCCUACGGGAGGCAGCAGUAGGGAAUCUUCCGCAAUGGGCGAAAGCCUGACGGAGCAACGCCGCGUGUGUGAUGAAGGUCUUCGGAUCGUAAAGCUCUGUUAGUAGGGAAGAACAAAGGUGUAAGUAACUAUGCACUUCUUGACGGUACCUAAUGAGAAAGCCACGGCUAACUACGUG